CUUUAUUGGGGAAAGUCCCAUCAACGGCUACUUUCCCAAUGUUUAAUUUUUAAAUUUCUAGAAAUAAGUAAUUACCCAUUUUGAUAUUACCCUUCACACAUUUUCUUCAAGAAAUUCCCAAUCCUUCCCUCUCUCUCCUUGUUCUUCUCUUUUCUCCGAAACCUUGAAUCUCUAGUUUGAUUCCUUGUAAGAAUGGAUCCCAGAUCGUCGAAAGGUGGUAGAAAAGCUUCAACCUAGAAUUUUGAGGCUAAGGUGGUCCCAUACGAAGAAUGGGUAGCAGAUUAUGAAAAAUGCUACUCAACAAUUCGCUUGGAUUCCCAAAUUCCCAAUGAUGUUACAAUCUGGAUGCUUAUUAUGGAAGAAAUCAAAGAUUGGCAAUACGAUUUAACACUCAAGCCUAACAAAAUAGUAAUAGGCUUGACUCACUUACAAAUGGUCUGUUUUACCCUCUCACCUCUUCUUAUUUAUUUUCUGGCUCUGGCAGGUAUUCACAUUAUGUAACUUCCUCCUAAUGCCAUUCAAUCCAUUAUUGUUGCUGAUGUCCCAAGCGUACUGAAGAAAAAUAGACUUUGAAAAUUAAAGAACAAAUCAAAGACCAGUGCCUCUCUCCAUAAGGUUUGGUAUCUUUCCCCCCAAAAGAACCAAUUCAUGAUCACCGGUUAGGAGACUUCUCAUCGCAACUAGGACAAGUUAGUUUUUCUCAUUGGAGAUAACUAGUUCCCCAAAGUCAUUUGCGAUGGCGUGUUCCCUAUUCUUUGCUAAUUCUUAUAAGUUAACUAUGAUUGUGCUUUAUCCAUUUUCUGUCCCCGUUCCUCUUGUUUCAUUUAUGCUCUUAUAUGAUACUUUCAACUAAUGUUCCAAUCCUUCUAUUUGUUCUUCUUUGAAGAAUUUCAUGGCCUAAAAAUUUUGACAUUAGUGAAUCUAGAGUCAAAUCGCUAACCUCUUGUUGGAUUUUUCAUUCUUUCACGGACGAUGUUGUUCCAGUAAGAGCUUUGCUCAAUUUAGAAGUAAGUCACGUCUCUGGAGGCUAUGUUGGAUUGAUGACAUUUAUGAAUCUGCCAUUCAACUAUAUGCUGAUGGUGACGAGGACAAGGAAGCAACACUUGUUAAGACGUGUAGCUCCUAUCUCUCUGAUUUUAAGAAAAGUCACAAUCCACCCACUAUUUCAGCUCUUCUCCUGAUGCAAUUUAUAUACUAUUUCAACUUGUGGACAAUGCUUUAAAAGAUUCAUCUCUUUGAAGCCUUUCGACCUCCUUAAGAGGUUCUCGAAAAAGUUUUGUGGCUAAAAGUACAAGCAAAGACACUAGUACCUCCAUUUCUGAUCCCUCAACUUGUGGAUAAUGCUCUAAAAGAUUAAUCUCUUUGAAGCCUUUCGACCUCCUCAUCACACGCUUCCAGCAUCUUCUUAGAGGCUCAUCUAGCACUAGGUUUUAGGGUUAUUGCUACUCAACCCCUUAACAUUGUUGCCCCAAAUAUAGAUAAAACCUCCUCCGAUGCCCUUAUCCUGGUUGAAGUCCUCACUUCCAUCACUAACUCUCUCCUUGAAGCUCCCCAAACUCAGCUAAUUCGAAAAAGAAAGAAAUUUCUUCCACCUCUAAGUGCUCCACAAAUGGUCAUCUCCAAAGACCCUCUUGACAACAUGCCUAAAAAGUCCAUAGUCUCAUUUGUCCCUCCUUUUCCUUCUAUCUAGGUAAUGCCUAGCUCUUUGGAACACCUCAUUGACCAAGGCACAGGAAAGUUCUUGCUAGCAUGCCUUCUUUCGGUAAGUCAAGCCAAUUUUUUUCUAGUGUUGCACAAAAAAUACUCGAACCUCCUACAGACUCGAUUCUUGUAAUGUCAAAGAAAUUGCUUAUUCAUGCUAUUGACGAUAUUUUAACCACCACUUCUAUUGCUAAAACUUCUCUUUCUCCCACCACUUCAUUCGACAUUCCCCCUUUUAACGCUCUGUUACAAUAUCUACAAGCCUCCAAUGUGUACAAUCCCAUAUUUUUUUCCCAGUGAUUUCAGUAGUGGUAGUAUUGAAGAGAGACUUUAUGACUCUUUUACUUAUCACUCCAUCACGAUCCUUUAGUAGACCCUUUGGGUUUCCAUAAAUCUGAUGCAGGCACUUCUUCUUCUGACCUUUCCCCUAAUCUCACUUCUCCAACCACGACAGCUUCUCCUGGGGCUGCUGUCAUCGCUACCACUGCUUCCCCAUCCAUCACAACUCAUUCAUCUUCCCUUGUAACCAAUUUAUAGACUGACUUGAUUAAUACCAGGACUACUGGCGCAACAAUUAAUACAUUCAUGAAUCCACCCAAUAUUCAAUUUAAUAGAGAUAACUCUUCAUUGUUGCGUUCUCCUUUCUCUGCAUUUCAUAAUGAGGAUGUGAUUGUUGUCUUAAGAAGAGAUACAUGCAUCCCUGCCCAUCUUUUAUGUAGUCUGCAGGAUAGUUCUUCUUUGGAGCUUCUUCAUCAUCUCUUUGACAAUGCACUCUUGGUUCCUUGCGGUAGGCGUCUGGGAUAAAACUGGGAGUAUCGAAGCUGAACUAUCAGUUGCCGGAGAAUUGCGAAGUAAACUCCAAGAAUAGUUGGCGUCUGUUGAGCAUCUCGCAUGAAAUCAGAAAAAGAACUUGCUGAAAUGUAGGAACGACUCUUGAGCGUGUAAAUUGUGCUAAAUGAAAGGGAUGCAUCUGUAAUGCCCCAUGCUCCUUAUGAGGUUAGUACUCUAAAUAGUGUGUCUGGAGGGCAUGACCUGAAUUAUUGAGGAAACUAUAUUAUUAAAUAAUUGAUUAUGUGCAUUAAAUGUGUUUGAAGACCUGCUUUUGGUUAAAAAAAAGUGGGCAUUUUGGUAAUUUUGACAUGUUGAUGGUGUAUUUGUAAAUUUUAUGUGAUAUGUGCAUUGUGACAACAUUAUUAUGUGGAUAAAUGUUAUUUUUGGCAAGA